rfam:Perkinsus marinus ATCC 50983 gcontig_1104296281968, whole genome shotgun sequence.
GACAGUUUGGCCGAGUGGUCUAAGGCGCUGGCUUCAGGCGUCAGUCCACAAGGGCGUGGGUUCGAAUCUCACAGCUGUUA